UACGUAGGGGGCAAGCGUUGUUCGGAAUUACUGGGCGUAAAGGGCGCGUAGGCGGCACGACAAGUCGGGAGUGAAAGCCCGGGGCUCAACCCCGGAAUGUCUCUCGAAACUGUCGAGCUAGAGUGCGGAAGAGGCAACUGGAAUUCCCAGUGUAGCGGUGAAAUGCGUAGAUAUUGGGAAGAACACCUGAGGCGAAGGCGGGUUGCUGGGCCGACACUGACGCUGAGGCGCGAAAGCCAGGGGAGCGAACGGG
rnacentral:rRNA from 1 species